rnacentral:rRNA from 1 species
AGGAUGAACGCUGGCGGCGUGCUUAACACAUGCAAGUCGAACGGUGAACACGGAGCUUGCUCUGUGGGAUCAGUGGCGAACGGGUGAGUAACACGUGAGCAACCUGCCCCUGACUCUGGGAUAAGCGCUGGAAACGGCGUCUAAUACUGGAUAUGUGACGUGACCGCAUGGUCUGCGUUUGGAAAGAUUUUUCGGUUGGGGAUGGGCUCGCGGCCUAUCAGCUUGUUGGUGAGGUAAUGGCUCACCAAGGCGUCGAUGGGUAGCCGGCCUGAGAGGGUGACCGGCCACACUGGGACUGAGACACGGCCCAGACUCCUACGGGAGGCAGCAGUGGGGAAUAUUGCACAAUGGGCGAAAGCCUGAUGCAGCAACGCCGCGUGAGGGAUGACGGCCUUCGGGUUGUAAACCUCUUUUAGCAGGGAAGAAGCGAAAGUGACGGUACCUGCAGAAAAAGCGCCGGCUAACUACGUGCCAGCAGCCGCGGUAAUACGUAGGGCGCAAGCGUUAUCCGGAAUUAUUGGGCGUAAAGAGCUCGUAGGCGGUUUGUCGCGUCUGCUGUGAAAUCCCGAGGCUCAACCUCGGGCCUGCAGUGGGUACGGGCAGACUAGAGUGCGGUAGGGGAGAUUGGAAUUCCUGGUGUAGCGGUGGAAUGCGCAGAUAUCAGGAGGAACACCGAUGGCGAAGGCAGAUCUCUGGGCCGUAACUGACGCUGAGGAGCGAAAGGGUGGGGAGCAAACAGGCUUAGAUACCCUGGUAGUCCACCCCGUAAACGUUGGGAACUAGUUGUGGGGCCCAUUCCACGGAUUCCGUGACGCAGCUAACGCAUUAAGUUCCCGCCCUGGGGAGUACGGCC